rnacentral:rRNA from 1 species
GAUGAACGCUGGCGGCGUGCCUAAUACAUGCAAGUCGAGCGAACAGAUGAGGAGCUUGCUCCUCUGACGUUAGCGGCGGACGGGUGAGUAACACGUGGAUAACCUACCUAUAAGACUGGGAUAACUUCGGGAAACCGGAGCUAAUACCGGAUAAUAUAUUGAACCGCAUGGUUCAAUAGUGAAAGACGGUUUUGCUGUCACUUAUAGAUGGAUCCGCGCCGCAUUAGCUAGUUGGUAAGGUAACGGCUUACCAAGGCAACGAUGCGUAGCCGACCUGAGAGAGUGAUCGGCCACACUGGAACUGAGACACGGUCCAGACUCCUACGGGAGGCAGCAGUAGGGAAUCUUCCGCAAUGGGCGAAAGCCUGACAGAGCAACGACGCGUGAGUGAUGAAGGUCUUCGGAUCGUAAAACUCUUUUAUUAGGGAAGAACAAAUGUGUAAGGAACUAUGCACGUCUUGACGGUAACUAAUCAGAAAGCCACGGCUAACUACGUG